rnacentral:rRNA from 1 species
AUUGAACGCUGGCGGCAGGCUUAACACAUGCAAGUCGAGCGGGGUGAUGGUGCUUGCGCUAUCACUUAGCGGCGGACGGGUGAGUAAUGCUUAGGAAUCUGCCUAUUAGUGGGGGACAACAUCUCGAAAGGGAUGCUAAUACCGCAUACGUCCUACGGGAGAAAGCAGGGGAUCACUUGUGACCUUGCGCUAAUAGAUGAGCCUAAGUCGGAUUAGCUAGUUGGUGGGGUAAAGGCCUACCAAGGCGACGAUCUGUAGCGGGUCUGAAAGGAUGCUCCGCCACACUGGGACUGAGACACGGCCCAGACUCCUACGGGAGGCAGCAGUGGGGAAUAUUGGACAAUGGGGGGAACCCUGAUCCAGCCAUGCCGCGUGUGUGAAGAAGGCCUUAUGGCUGUAAAGCACUUUAAGCGAGGAGGAGGCUCUUUUGGUUAAUACCCAAGAUGAGUGGACGUUACUCGCAGAAUAAGCACCGGCUAACUCUGUGCCAGCCGCCGCGGUAA